rnacentral:rRNA from 1 species
UACGUAGGGUGCAAGUGUUAAUCGGAAUUACUGGGCGUAAAGCGUGCGCAGGCGGUUCGGAAAGAAAGAUGUGAAAUCCCAGGGCUUAACCUUGGAACUGCAUUUUUAACUGCCGGGCUAGAGUAUGUCAGAGGGGGGUAGAAUUCCACGUGUAGCAGUGAAAUGCGUAGAGAUGUGGAGGAAUACCGAUGGCGAAGGCAGCCCCCUGGGAUAAUACUGACGCUCAUGCACGAAAGCGUGGGGAGCAAACAGG